AUAGCAGUUGAUAAAUAUAUUUCAAAAGUAAAGUUGCUGCUAUGCUGCUAUAAACAAGGCUUUGGGGAGAAAAUGUUCAAGGCAGCUGUGCUGGUUUUGGCUGGGGUAGGGUUAAUUCUUUUCACAGGAGCUGACGUGUGGCUGUGCUUUGGAUUUGUGCUGGGAGCACUGUGGAUAACUCAGGGAUGUUUUGGUUAUGGUUGAGCACGGCUUACAGAGAGCCCACAGAGCUUUUUCUGCUCCUCACCUCCACCCCACCAGCGACGGGGGUGCACAAGGAUUUGGGAGGGGACAGAGCCCGGCCAGCUGACCCCAAUGACCCAAGGGAUAUUCCAGACUGUGUGAUGCUGUGCUCAGCAUUAAACUGAGGAAGAAGAAGGAAGUGGGAAUGUUCAGAGCAAUGGCUUUUGUCUUCCCAAGUCACUGUUGUGCGUGAUGGAAAGUCACUGUUGUGGCUUUCCUGGGGAUGGCUGAACCCCUGCCCGCCCAUGCGAAGUGGGGAAUGAAUUCCUUGUUUGGCUUUGCUUGUGUGCAUGGCUUUUCCUUCCCUUACUAAACUGUCUUCAUCUCAGCCCACAAGUUUUCUCACUUUUGCUCUUCUGAUUCGCUCUCCCUCCCACCUGGGAGAGCGAGCGGCUGCGUGGGGCUGAGCUCAGCCACGACAGCAGCACAGGGACUCCAGGGUUCCUGCCACUCCCAUUCCCUUAUGGAUCACCUCUGCCCUCCUUAAAUGAGCACACAGAACAAAGAGAGAGUUUUAAUCCUUUAUCUGCAGGGGGGGACAAUUCAUUCACUGCCACAGGGGCUCCCCAGGUCAUCCAGAUAGUUGAACAAAUGGAAUGGAUUUCACUUCCUUUCUCUUUAUUUGCCUUUUCUAUUUGACCUACCCAGAAUUUAAUCUGAUUCCUGACAAGAUCAGUACUCUCAUAAUUUGUGAUAUGUUUUAAUUUGUGAUAGUGAUCUGUAGAGAUCAGCUGUUGAGGUUGGCAAUUCUUCUCAUGAUGGUGUCUGCUGCUGAAUGGCAGUGGGUAGAGUAAUGGAGAGCCUGUAAAUGGCAUAACUGCCAUAACUCUUGCUGAAUACCCAGAAAUAUUCAGUUUUAUCCCAGACAUAGAACUAGAACUCAUUAAAAUUGCCACCAGUCUUUUCAAAAUUGCCACUAAUCUUUUCAAAUCCAAGACAUGGCAGCCUGACAAACUUUUCUUUCACCUUUUAUAGAAACAUAGCAAAAUUUUUAUCCUAAAAAAAAGACACUGCUCUUCUGAAAAGAAAUUAUGCUUCUCUAAUAUCUUUCAGUUUGUGAGCAGGCCCCUAAGCAUGUGAAUAUUUCAAUAUGCAGUUUAUAAAAAUCCAUCAGAGAUAGUGCUCAAGAGCAAGGGUCAAAAGGAAUGGUAUGAUACUUGAGAUCCCAUAUAUCAAAAAGCACAGUGUAAAAAUCUUUGGCAUAUAGGUGAUCUUAAUGGUCCCUUCUGGACUUAAAAUGUAUUACAGAGAGAAACUAUCAAGUCAUUUUUAUAAUUUAAAGCUUUAUCUUUUCCUUAUUAGUAAUUCUUCCUGUCUGAAUAUCAUUGUUCACCUUAAGCAAAAUAGAGAAUAUAUUAUUAGUGGAAGGUAAUAAAAAGGACUCUGUGUUAUUGCGAUCACUACCCAUAAUAAAUGUAAAAUUUGGUGUUCCAAAGGCUGUCAAAAAGGUCCUUUUCUCCUUGUUUCCAUCUAAAAUAUUUCAUAGCAUUGCUAGCAGUAGUAACUCAGAGCAACACAUUUCUACAAAGACAAGAAUGUGGCAGUGUCUGCAAAACAAACUAUCCCAGGUCAUCAUAAACAAACCACUGCAGUGUUGGUUAGAAAACCUUUAUGAGCAAAGGAAGCCCAUGUGAAAUUGUGAAAUUAGGACUUUUUACUACAAGGGUUCAGGAAAUAGUUUCUGAUACUUACUUAUAACUCUGUGAUGUUCAUAGUGGUUUUAUCUUUCAAGAAAAGAAGCUAUUGGGAGAUCUUAAAAUGUGUAGAUAUCCAGAGAAAUGGGGCAGUUGCUUUCAAUGGGCAUUUUCACUGAGACCCACUGUGCCUCAUGUUCUCCAUGUGCCUGAACAUGUGAGCUCUACCUGUCCUUGUAGUCUUGGUGAGUACUGGGAUGAAAUUUUCUGCAGCUCACAGCCCACAGGAUGUAAAAAUCCCAGCAUUUGCUCUCUUUGAGUAGGAAAUCACUGGAAUGACUCAGCUUGAGUAGAGUGACCUUUGAGUGAAGGCUGUCGUAUGGAGCUGCUCUGCCACUACUCUCCCCAGUUUUCCUUAGCUCAAGAAUGGCCAGCUUCAGAGAAAAGGUUCACCACUUUAAUUGAAUUUUCUCCAUAUUGAGAGGAGUAAAAAUAAACAUUCUUCUCGGUUUAUUCACGCAUACGCUGGAAUCAUCCAAGUGAGAUAUCUGAGAGGAGCUACAUGAUUAUGAUCUGAAAUGAGAACAAAGUUCAUCUUCUGUGAAUUCUUGUUUCAUCCCUGCAGACUUUGAAAGAGGAAAGAGAUUGAAGAAUCUUAAUACCCAUUGAAGCUCAAGAAAGCCAAGGCUGAGAGCUCCUGCAUUAACCUUUUUAGCAUUCUGCUGGCUAAUUGUCUGUCCAUUCCACCUUCUCGUCCCAGGUUAAUGGGGUGGUUAACAGGAGAGGACAGGAACAGUUGGCCAGUCACACCACAAAGCAAACUGAAAAGGUCAAAGCCAUGUGCUGUAUUAUUCAUGGACUAUGCCUUGCUGAGGCAUCUCAGAUCUCCCGUCUUCUCAUGAUGAAUUACAACAAGAAACGGCCCAACGUGAAAUUGGCUCUUGUGACAAUAAUUGUAGUUCAAGUGGAGAAAUGUAAAACUGUGGCCUGCUGCUGUUCUGGCUUUUGAGAUGGAGGGGGUGUGAGCACAUCUAGCCACUGAGUGAGCAGCAGGUUACAUUUGUAUGGCCUCUCAGCUGGGUUGUGAGUUUAAUACCAUGUCUCCUGAUUCUUCUCAUUUCAGCCAUGGACUUUGUUUUAGAAAUACUGUGUGGUGCCUAAUAUCCCUCUUCUAUCUUCCAAGUCUAUAAACUCAUGACUAGCUUAAAGAUAUCUUAAUAUCAGACUCUUUUUUCUGUUGUGUGAUAUUUUGUUUUGAAGAUGUAAGUGUGCUAACUCCCAAGAGGCCCUCAGGAGUGGACCAUUGGCCAGUCCUUUUUCACAAGAAUUUGCAAUCUGUAGAGUCAAGUGGAAAACUUGAUGUAACCAUUAUAAUUUCCUUCAUCUUGGAUGUGAAACAGAAGGAGAUACUUGCACAGUGCCUGAGGUGUUUCAAAUUGAGUGCAGUCCCCAUCAGUGACCCCACAGAGCUCAGCCACAAGCUGCUUUAACCCACUGCCAGUGGAUCUCUUUACUACAUGUCCUUGUUCAGUCCCUACAAUUGGAUGUCACGAGUUCACCUCAUCUUGCUCCUCUGGAGAUGUGUUUCAUGCAAUACUUCAGGUGCAGACCUACUUGGAACCAAACCUUGUAUCUUUCAAGUGCUUUUACCACACCCCUCUGACAGGAGAGACUUCCCAAAUAGUGGAAUAUCUUUUUUAAGAGCACCCACUGCCUGGUCUACCUUCUCCAAGUUGUAAUUAGUGUUGUAACCCAAAAGUAUAUCAGCACCUGGAGGAGUUGACUUUGCUUGUGUCUCUUGCAGGGAAGACUUACAAGUCAGCCCUUGAGGAAAGGACUACUUAUACCUUUUCUUUUCCUGCCCUUUCUAAAAACUGGUAAUAGUGUUCUUUGUUUUUCAUUGAGUGGUUGCCACUGCCAUCCAGUUGCCUGGGGGCAGUGAACCUGGCUGUCAACAGAUAAAUCAUUUCUGUGACAAAAAAAAUUUCUGUGAUGGAGGGAAACAAGCCCCCAUCAUUCAUGUGGGAACAGGUCUUUGAAAGAGAAGUGACCUGAAAGUGGAACUCGUGGGGAGUGGUCUCAGAUGUGUCCUUGUGCAUGGGACUAAAAUAGCCACAGAAGCCAAGGGCCAGGCUUUUUAAUGUGCUCUU
rnacentral:lncRNA from 1 species